CCUUAAAGAUUGAUUUGCGCCAUAGCCUUAGAUCAACGACCGGGAGCUAGGCCGCAGGUAUGAGUAUAUGAUGGCGUUCCCCGAAGGCGAACAAAAACGAGAGAAGCCAAUUAUUAUAUAGCGUCUCCUUUCAACAAUGUCCGAUAAUUGGAUCCAGCAACCGUGGGCUUUUUGAGCGCAGGCCGCGGCAGCGGCAGCAGCAGCGGGCUACCGGUUCCUUCCUCUGCUCGGCGGCCUGAACCUCUCCCCUAGGUCCGGGCCCAGGCAUCAGUAGCAGCAGCAACGCGGUGGUCGUUUGAAGCCGCGGGCCGGUUCCAGGAGGCGACGGAGGCCGCCUCUUCUGCUGCUGCUGCUAGCGUUCUACGGCUUGAUGCAAACCCACGGAGACGUCGACGACGACUGCCGCCAGCGCACGACGGGCGACGACCGCGACCAAUACUGCGCCUGCCUGACCCACCUCUUCCAGCAGAAGAGGCGGCAAGACGACGGGUGGCAGCAGCCGCAGAAGAAGAAGGACGCGCGGCACACGUUCUCCGGCGCGUACCGGCAGCAACGGUCGUACUAGUUCUCUAUCUCGGGACCAGCCGAGCGAAGUCGUAGACUGCAGGUGUAUGUACUCGUGAUUGGUGUAGGUGUGCUGUGUGUAGCAUACGAAACUUCACAAUAUAUUCUCUCUGGAUAUGUGCACCACACAUGAUCCACAUACUAAACUACAAAUUCCCAGGUUGAGUACGCGCACACCAGCACGAACACACAAACAAUUAUCUACACAAUCACGGUGACAGUCAGAAUAUACACAUAUUAAAAAAAGGAAAAAAAACACCACAAUAUUCGAAGUCUCACUUCUAAUGAAGUUGGUUUUGUUUUCCUCCUAUACAACUUUAGUAAUAAUGACGUUCUUACACAGAUCUGGCGGAUAGCUGAAGUCGUAGCAUUAACCGGAUUAACGCCGUACACGGUGAAUAACUUCGCGCUUGGCCUAAGACGCCAAGUGGAGUACAAUUUUACAGCAAAACACCAAGCCUAGACUUUAUAAUA
rnacentral:rRNA from 1 species